AUGACUGAAAAAUUAGCUGGUUAUGCUUAUGACGAGUACAUUACGGAGAUGGAAAUGGAUGCGUCCCUCAAGGACAUAGAUCUCCUCUAUUUUGAGAUCUGGAGGCUUGUCGCUAAAGAAAAUAGAACUUACAAAGAGGCUGUGAAGGAAGUUUAUGAGUCUGGCGAGUUCCCUGUACACAAAGCAGUACUACAUUCUGAACUCAAUGGGGGCCAUAUCUUUGUAACGAUGCAAGAAAUGAUUUACUCUGUUGUCCUGGAGGGUGGCAUUGAUCUGACUGACGAAGAGGAGAAAGCUCAGGGUGUGUUUAGGAAGUUAUCUUUCAGUUUGCAUAAACCAAUGAACAUGGCUCAGUAUGCUCAGAAGAAGGUGGAGAUAGCAAAUCAGUUGAAGUUGAACAAAGAGGUAUGCUAA
rnacentral:rRNA from 1 species